GCUCUUCUAGCAUAUAUUAAAAUUGCUGCAGUUAAAACGCUCGUAGUUUGAAUUAUUUUCCACGUGUGGGAUGAGGAAUCGUAGCUUUGGGGCAUUGCCUCACGCGUGUGCCAGAACUGCGAAAGUAUAAUCCUCAUCCUCGGUGCGAAAGAUAUAAAAGACUUUUUGGUGCAGGGUGUGUUGAUUCGUGCCUCAUCAUA
rnacentral:rRNA from 1 species